GGGCCCGCACAAGCGGUGGAGUAUGUGGUUUAAUUCGAUGCAACGCGAAGAACCUUACCAGGGUUUGACAUCCUGCGAAUCUCUUGGAAACAGGAGAGUGCCUUCGGGAACGCAGUGACAGGUGGUGCAUGGCUGUCGUCAGCUCGUGUCGUGAGAUGUUGGGUUAAGUCCCGCAACGAGCGCAACCCACGUCUUUAGUUGCCAGCAUUUAGUUGGGCACUCUAGAGAGACUGCCGGUAAUAAACCGGAGGAAGGUGUGGAUGACGUCAAGUCAUCAUGCCCUUACAUCCUGGGCUACACACGUACUACAAUGCUACGGACAAAGGGCUGCAAGUUCGCGAGGACAAGCAAAUCCCAUAAACCGUGGCUC
rnacentral:rRNA from 1 species